GUCCAGGCGCUCAUGUCGUGUCUGUGUAGCACGCUGUUCGUGUUUUCAUCAGCCGUGUGCUUUUUGUGUUAUGUUUUGUGUUUUGUGAGUGUUCUCAUGGGGUGCAUGUUCCUGUCUUGUUUUGUUUGAGCACAUGGCUUGUGACUGUUUUCGUUAGUCAUGUGCUCAUGUUUUUGUUUUAUUUGGUGUGAGCACAUGGCUUGUCAUGUUUGUUUCUUUUUACCAUGUGCUCUCCUUUUUAUUGUCUGAACCCUUCUCGCACUUCAAGCAAGCAUGGUUGAGCUUCCAUUUACCAUAACUGAUGUGUGCGUUGAUGAAUGUUUAUAUGUGAAUAAAAGCCUAAAUUAAAGGAAAUUUGGACUAAAGCACUCAAUUUAUAUAGAUUAGUUUCUCUUUAUGAACUUUUUGAAGCAUCAAAGUGGUAGUUACGUGUCAAUGGAGGGACAGAAAUCUCUCUGAUUUCAUUCAAAAUCAGAUUCUCUCUGAUUUAAUUUGUGUUCCGAAGAUGAACGAAAGUUUUACAGGUUUGGAAUGACAUGAGGGUGAGUAAAUUAUGAAAUAAUUUUAUUUUUUGGUUGAACUAACCCUUCAAGGACAACUUCGUCUUCCGAGGCUCACGGCUGUUUGCACUUGCUGCUCUUCAAUUUGUGCUGGUCUCCAUAGCGCACAAAGGACAUCAGGGAAAGGUGAGAACUAAACAACGCCUUCAUGAUCUCAAUUGGUGGCCAGGGAUGGAUUCUCAGGUUCAGGAUGCUGUCCGUUUCUGCCACGUGUGUCAGCUCAAUGACCAAACUGUCAAGUCACAUCCUGCUCCUCUCCAGCCGGUGUUGCUGCCAAAUGGACCAUGGCAGAAAGUGGCUGUGGAUAUAGUCAUGCCAUUUGAUACUGCUGCAUCCUACUGCAGCUAAUGGUGCUGUAGAGAGGUUUAACCCUGUGCUCAAAUACACUGUCCAAAUGACCAUCUGCAACAUCAGCCAUGGAAACUUGUGAUCCUCUAUGGCUCGUACUCCUUGUUUCCAGGAGGGGGAUAAAGUAAGGGUAUGGAAGCCCUUGUAUGUUCCUAAGGGGACACGGAAAGUUUACUGAUCAUCUCACAGUUGCCAAAAGAUUUUGGGUGGGUACUGUGUUCUUAGUGAUGGAAAGACAUGGAAUGCUUUCCAUCUCACUGCA